GGGAGCUUGCUCCCGGCUGACGAGUGGCGGACGGGUGAGUAAUGCAUAGGAAUCUGCCCAGUAGUGGGGGACAACCUGGGGAAACUCAGGCUAAUACCGCAUACGCCCUACGGGGGAAAGGCUUCGGCCGCUAUUGGAUGAGCCUAUGUCUGAUUAGCUUGUUGGUGGGGUAACAGCCUACCAAGGCUACGAUCAGUAGCUGGUCUGAGAGGACGAUCAGCCACACUGGGACUGAGACACGGCCCAGACUCCUACGGGAGGCAGCAGUGGGGAAUAUUGCACAAUGGGCGAAAGCCUGAUGCAGCAAUGCCGCGUGUGUGAAGAAGGCCUGCGGGUUGUAAAGCACUUUCAGUAGGGAGGAUUAUGACGUUACCUACAGAAGAAGCACCGGCUAACUCUGUGCCAGCAGCCGCGAUAAUACAGAGGGUGCGAGCGUUAAUCGGAAUUACUGGGCGUAAAGCGCGCGUAGGCGGCUUGGUCAGUCGGAUGUGAAAGCCCCGGGCUUAACCUGGGAAUUGCAUUCGAUACUGCCAGGCUGGAGUGUAGUAGAGGGAAGCGGAAUUCCGGGUGUAAGCGGUGA
rnacentral:rRNA from 1 species